CCGGCCGGGAUCGGCGCCGGGAGCGGGCGGGGGGUCGCGCCCGGGAGGGGAGGGGCCGCGCCGGGCACCUGCAGCCCCGGCCCGGGGCAUCCGCCUCUGGACCCCGCACACUCCCGGCGCCGCUUUGGCCACUGCGCCUGGUCGGCUGGUUCAGCCGCAGUCCCUCCGACGUCCACCUGGUGCCCCCGGUGUGUGCAGGGCCCUGAAGCCCAAGGCGCAUCCCCACUCUGGUCCCUUCGGUUGGAAGGAGAGUAACGAAGAGAAUGCUAUAGGCUCAGGACGACACAGAGUGACGAUGGCACGACAGCUCCCUUCUGACCUGCCUGCCCCGCCACAGAAGGAGGAGAAGAUCUCCCUCUGCCCGAAAGUCACUUCCUGGCACAACCCCUCUCUCUGGCCAACAGGGCAAGGGGACUGGAGCUCGCUUCUUUGUGAAUAACAAAGAGAGCUGGAUAAAUCUCACCCUCCGUCCUUCCUGUUACAUUGCUGAAUUCCUUAAAUAUCAGGUUUUUUUCCUAUUUCCCGAAUUGGACAAUGAGCCCAGUAAAAGGCCUAAUAAAAGAUUUAGGGGAGCUAAGGAAAUGGAGCCAAAAGUGUUUUGGGGGACACAGAUUAGAGGAGUUCAGACUCGAAAGUAAGUUUGAGAACUUGACUGAUGGCUCUGGAGUAUGACUUGAGCAGUAUAGCCCGCAAGGAAUAGGAGGGCAUAGUAACAGGCCGGGGAGCCUCCAUGGAGGCCCUCUAGCAAAAGGAGACCAUGUAGGGUGUGUCCCAGGAACUCGGGGAGGCUGCCACCAGCUCCAAGAUUCUGCUCCCCAAUUCACAACCCCAAGAUAGUGUGUGGUAAUUAGGCAGACAGUGCAUUUAAAUAUGCAUUGUGUACCUUUUGUAUGUGAGACACUGUGGUAGGUAAUUUGUGUGGUGUGUGUGGGGGGGGGGAGGAGAGGGGUUACUUGAAAAUGGUCCUUGCCCUCAAUAAAGCCUAGAGUCUAGUAAAACUGUCAUAAAAAUAGGAGCUCGGAGAGGCCACUGUAUCGCCUCAGGAAGUGGUUGUUGAAAACAGUCUCCGGAGCACCAGCAGAGCUAGUUGCUAAGGCAGAUUUGGGAAGUUGGUUCCUGGCCAGAUGGCACAGAGUGAGGCAGAGAUGCCAAGACCUAUGGGUGAAGAAGAGAGCCUGCCCAAGGAAAGACCAGGAAACCACGUCCAGCGAUGCUCACUUCCAAGGCCACAGUGUUUUAUCCCACAUGUGGUAAACAGAGCUGCAGUCCCCACCGUUAUUUGGACACAGUUUUCAGGUUUAGGAAAAACACCUUUGAACCAAGAUCAGAAGACUGAAAAUGUCAGCACCAUAGAAAAGUUUUACGAUACAAAUAGGAAAUAAAGGCACACCUUUGAGGCACACCCUUUAGUCCGCUACAAGUUUGGGGCACCUCCUAGCUGAGGUAUGUGUGGGAAAAAAAGUUAUGAAUCAUAAUCACUUUAUAACACUUCUUAUAAUCAUCACUCACCUUCAAUGCUUGUGUAUGGUCCCACACUGUUGCAACACUAACACAUCUUCUUAUACAAAAUUAGACCCUAUUCAAAGGAAAACUACCCAGCAGAAAUUAACUAGGGACUGGUUAUGUCUGCAUACCUGGCAUACAGAGUAGCCAAAUCAUCUUUUGUAUUGAGAUACUUUUUCAGAUGUCCUACGAUCUGCUGCCAUUUUUAAAAAUUCUGUUAAAUUGUCCAAGUAGUCCUUGACUAUAUUAUCACUUACAUAAAAUUACCUUACAUUUGGAAUUUACAAUU